rnacentral:rRNA from 1 species
GAUGAACGCUGGCGGCGUGCUUAACACAUGCAAGUCGAGCGAAGCACUUACCAUUGACUCUUCGGAAGAUUUGGUAAAUGACUGAGCGGCGGACGGGUGAGUAACGCGUGGGUAACCUGCCUCAUACAGGGGAAUAACAGUUAGAAAUGGCUGCUAAUGCCGCAUAAGCGCACAGUACCGCAUGGUACGGUGUGAAAAACCGAGGUGGUAUGAGAUGGACCCGCGUCUGAUUAGGUAGUUGGUGGGGUAACGGCCUACCAAGCCGACGAUCAGUAGCCGGCCUGAGAGGGUGAACGGCCACAUUGGGACUGAGACACGGCCCAGACUCCUACGGGAGGCAGCAGUGGGGAAUAUUGCACAAUGGGGGAAACCCUGAUGCAGCGACGCCGCGUGAAGGAAGAAGUAUCUCGGUAUGUAAACUUCUAUCAGCAGGGAAGAAAAUGACGGUACCKACU